GAUUGUAUCGGGAUAGUUCAGUUGGUUAGAACAAUAGUUUUGGUUACGUAGGUUCGAAUCCUACAUGCAAUUU
rnacentral:tRNA from 1 species